GGGGCCGUAGCUCAGCUGGGAGAGCGACUGCCUUGCACGCAGUAGGUCAGGAGUUCGAUCCUCCUCGGCUCCACCA
rnacentral:tRNA from 1 species